GGUUCAUUCAAAUUUCUGCCCUAUCAACUUUCGACGGCUGGGUCUUGGCAGCCAUGGUGACAACGGGUAACGGAGGGUUAGGGCUCGACCCCGGAGAAGGAGCCUGAGAAACGGCUACUACAUCCAAGGAAGGCAGCAGGCGCGCAAAUUACCCAAUCCCGACCGGGGAGGUAGUGACAAUAAAUACUGAUACAGGGCUCUUUUGGGUCUUGUAAUCGGAAUGAGUACAAUUUAAACCCCUUAACGAGGAACAAUUGGAGGGCAAGUCUGGUGCCAGCAGCCGCGGUAAUUCCAGCUCCAAUAGCGUAUAUUAAAGUUGUUGCAGUUAAAAAGCUCGUAGUUG
rnacentral:rRNA from 1 species